rnacentral:tRNA from 1 species
AGUCUUAUAUUCAUAAAAAUGAUAUUAAAUUGCAAAUUUAAAGGAAUAAAUAAUAAUAAUUAUUAAGACUU